GAUGAACGCUGGCGGCGUGCCUAAUACAUGCAAGUCGAGCGAACAGACGAGGAGCUUGCUCCUCUGACGUUAGCGGCGGACGGGUGAGUAACACGUGGAUAACCUACCUAUAAGACUGGGAUAACUUCGGGAAACCGGAGCUAAUACCGGAUAAUAUAUUGAACCGCAUGGUUCAAUAGUGAAAGACGGUUUUGCUGUCACUUAUAGAUGGAUCCGCGCCGCAUUAGCUAGUUGGUAAGGUAACGGCUUACCAAGGCAACGAUGCGUAGCCGACCGGAGAGGGGGAUCGGCCACACGGGAACUGAGACACGGUCCAGACUCCUACGGGAGGCAGCAGUAGGGAAUCUUCCGCAAUGGGCGAAAGCCUGACGGAGCAACGCCGCGUGAGUGAUGAAGGUCUUCGGAUCGUAAAACUCUGUUAUUAGGGAAGAACAAAUGUGUAAGUAACUAUGCACGUCUUGACGGUACCUAAUCAGAAAGCCACGGCUAACUACGUG
rnacentral:rRNA from 1 species